rnacentral:lncRNA from 1 species
CUCCUGGGGGUGUCAGUCAGGUUGUUCAGAAUGAAGAAAAUGAAAACUGUUUGAAGAAAGUGGAUCCCCAGCUAUUGAAGAUGGCAUUAACUCCUUACCCCAAGCUAAAAACUGCUCUCUUCCCACAGUGCACUCCUCCUAGUGUCCUGCCAUCUGAUAUUACAAUCUACCACCUUAUUCAGUCAUUAUCACCCUUUGAUCCUAGCAGAUUGUUUGGCUGGCAGUCUGCUAACACACUAGCUAUAGGAGGAAUCAGGUCACAAUGUGAAAAGUCCUUGGAAUUCCAUGAGAAAACACAACUUUAUUUCAGAAAUAAGCUUUGAACUUUGAAAACAAGAGCAGAUGCAUGGAGUCAUCUCCCACAUUUCUCUAGCCCUGACCUGGUUAAUAAAUAUGCUAUAGUGGAACGUC